UCUUUCCUACUCCUCCCAUUCC
rnacentral:miRNA from 3 species